GGCCCGGGAUAAAUUGCUUUUAAUUUCUGGCAACUAGUAUGAAAGCUACACAUGUGCUCUGAUUAUUUUAUGAGACUAAGGCUU
rnacentral:snoRNA from 1 species